AUUGAACGCUGGCGGCAUGCCUUACACAUGCAAGUCGAACGGUAACAGGUCUUCGGAUGCUGACGAGUGGCGAACGGGUGAGUAAUACAUCGGAACGUGCCUAGUAGUGGGGGAUAACUACUCGAAAGAGUGGCUAAUACCGCAUGAGAUCUACGGAUGAAAGCAGGGGAUCGCAAGACCUUGUGCUACUAGAGCGGCCGAUGGCAGAUUAGGUAGUUGGUGGGAUAAAAGCUUACCAAGCCGACGAUCUGUAGCUGGUCUGAGAGGACGAUCAGACACACUGGGACUGAGAAACGGCCCAGACGCCGACGGGAGGCAGCAGUGGGGAAUUUUGGACAAUGGGCGCAAGCCUGAUCCAGCAAUGCCGCGUGCAGGAUGAAGGCCUUCGGGUUGUAAACUGCUUUUGUACGGAACGAAAAGCCCCGGGUUAAUACCCUGGGGUCAUGACGGUACCGUAAGAAUAAGCACCGGCUAACUACGUGCCAGCCGCCGCCGUAA
rnacentral:rRNA from 1 species